CGUGGGGGAAGGAUGGUCGCUGGCCAACUCGAUUGGCCAGAGGAAAGUCCGAGCUGCGCAGAGCAAGGGUGCCCGGUGAAAGCCGGGGAGACGCGUGUCACACGCGUCGACAGUCCAGAUCGGCACGCGCGACGCGCGUGAGAGCAACAGAGACCAGUUUCAAGUGCCCCUGGCACUUGAGGUGAAAAGGGCAAUCCUCCCCGCAGCAAUCUCCGAAUCGGCCGCUAGCAGGUGGCUCGCCGAGGCCGGAAGUCGAGAGCAGUCGCCGAAGCGAUGAGGCGACCAGCCUCCAGCAGGCUGAGAGAGAUGACCAUCAUCAACAGAACUCGGCUUACUCUCCUCCACGUACU
rnacentral:RNase_P_RNA from 1 species